rnacentral:sRNA from 1 species
ACCGGUCUUCGGUCAAGGGUAUACGAGUAGCUGCGCUCCCCUGCUAGAACCUCCAAACAAGCUCUCAAGGUCCAUUUUCUGUGCUUUUAAUC